AGCGAACGCUGGCGGCGUGCUUAACACAUGCAAGUCGAACGCGCAGCAUUCUGUAGCAAUACAGGGUGUGGGCGCGUGGCGAACGGGUGCGUAACACGUGGAUAACCUUCCUUCAGGUGGGGAAUAACCCCGCGAAAGCGGGGCUAAUACCGCAUAACAUGACGAUGCCACAUGGUGUUGUCUUCAAAGCCGCAAGGCGCCAGAAGAGGGAUCCGCGGCCGAUUAGCUUGUUGGCGAGGUAAUGGCUCACCAAGGCAUUGAUCGGUAGCC
rnacentral:rRNA from 1 species